rnacentral:rRNA from 1 species
ACGGGUGAGUAACACGUAUCCAACCUGCCGUCUACUCUUGGCCAGCCUUCUGAAAGGAAGAUUAAUCCAGGAUGGCAUCAUGAGUUCACAUGUCCGCAUGAUUAAAGGUAUUUUCCGGUAGACGAUGGGGAUGCGUUCCAUUAGAUAGUAGGCGGGGUAACGGCCCACCAAAGCGACGAUGGAUAGGGGUUCUGAGAGGAAGGUCCCCCACAUUGGAACUGAGACACGGUCCAA